rnacentral:rRNA from 1 species
ACGGAAGGCAGCAGUGGGGAAUAUUGGACAAUGGGGGAAACCCUGAUCCAGCGACGCUGCGUGAGUGAAGAAGUAUUUCGGUAUGUAAAGCUCCUUAAGCAGGAAAGAAAAUGACGGUACCUGCAGAAUAAGCCCCGGCUAACUACGUGCCCGCAGCCGCGGUAGUACGUAGGGGGCAAGCGUUAUCCGGAUUUACUGGGUGUAAAGGGAGCGUAGACGGCAAUGCAAGUCUGAAGUGAAAGCCCGUGGCUUAACUGCGGGACUGCUUUGGAAACUGCAUGGCUAGAGUGUCGGAGAGGUGAGUGGAAUUCCCAGUGUAGCGGUGAAAUGCGUAGAUAUUGGGAGGAACACCGGAGGCGAAGGCGGCUCACUGGACGAUCACUGACGUUGAGGCUCGAAAGCGUGGGGAGCAAACAGGAUUAGAUCCCCUCGUA